CGGCUAACUCCGUGCCAGCAGCCGCGGUAAUACGGAGGGUGCAAGCGUUAUUCGGAAUCACUGGGCGUAAGGGACACGUAGGCGGGAAGCCAAGUCUGAUGUGAAAUCCUACAGCUUAACUGUAGAACUGCAUUGGAAACUGGCUACCUAGAGUAUGGGAGGGGGAGAUGGAAUUAGUGGUGUAGGGGUAAAAUCCGUAGAUAUCACUAGGAAUACCUAAAGCGAAGGCGAUCUCCUGGAACAAUACUGACGCUAAGGUGUGAAAGCGUGGGGAGCAAACGGGAUUAGAUACCCCGGUAGUCCACGCCCUAAACGAUGUUCACUAGUCGUCGGAAUGCUAGUCAUUUCGGUGAUGCACUUAACAGAUUAAGUGAACCGCCUGGGGAGUACGGUCGCAAGAUUAAAACUCAAAGGAAUAGACGGGGACCCGCACAAGUGGUGGAGCAUGUGGUUUAAUUCGAAGGUACGCGAAGAACCUUACCUAGCCUUGACAUUGAUUGAAUAGACCAGAGAUGGACUAGUGCCCUUCGGGGAACAUGAAAACAGGUGCUGCACGGCUGUCGUCAGCUCGUGUCGUGAGAUGUUGGGUUAAGUCCCGCAACGAGCGCAACCCUCGUCCUUAGUUGCCAGCAGGUUAAGCUGGGCACUUUAANGAGACUGNCUUCGCAAGGAGGAGGAAAGUGAGGACGACGUCAAGUCAUCAUGGCCCUUAUGGCUAGGGCUACACACGUGCUACAAUGGGGCGUACAGANUGNUGCGAUACCGCGAGGUGGNNCUAAUCACUUAAAGCGUCUCUCAGUUCGGA
rnacentral:rRNA from 1 species